rnacentral:piRNA from 1 species
UCCAGAAUACACUGCUGUGCAGAACCUGG